CCUACGGGAGGCUGCAGUGAGGAAUAUUGGUCAAUGGGCGCAAGCCUGAACCAGCCAAGUCGCGUGAGGGAUGACGGUCCUAUGGAUUGUAAACCUCUUUUGUCGGGGAGCAAGGCCCGCCACGUGUGGCGGGAAGGAGAGUACCCGAAGAAAAAGCAUCGGCUAACUCCGUGCCAGCAGCCGCGGUAAUACGGAGGCUGCGAGCGUUAUCCGGAUUUAUUGGGUUUAAAGGGUGCGUAGGCGGAAGGUUAAGUCAGCGGUAAAAUGUCGGUGCUCAACACCGGCCUGCCGUUGAAACUGGUCUUCUUGAGUGAGCGAGAAGUAUGCGGAAUGCGUGGUGUAGCGGUGAAAUGCAUAGAUAUCACGCAGAACUCCGAUUGCGAAGGCAGCAUACCGGCGCUCAACUGACGCUGAGGCACGAAAGCGUGGGGAUCGAACAGGAUUAGAUACCCGGGUAGUC
rnacentral:rRNA from 1 species